rnacentral:piRNA from 2 species
UUAAAGGCUUUGUCCACAGGGUGGUACUA